AUACCUCAACAGCACAGGCUGCACAGGGACUCCUGGGAUAAAGGCACCUAGACGGGGGGGUUUGGAACACACGAUCGAGUUUCGUGGACUUAACAACAAGACCAUCACACAGUGAAUGAAUGGAGCUGUGCAGUAUAUCAAGUCUUCUUUCUGUUGUGUGGCCUUUUUGCUCAGUGGAUUUGAUACCUGUGGCCAGCGGCCUCCUGACUUGGCUCUGGAUUCAAUCUCCUGGAUCGUAUUCUUCCGUGAGUCUGGGUCCUUUCUGGACACCAGCA